rnacentral:lncRNA from 1 species
UGAGCUGCAGCUGCGACCUACACUACCAACACCAGCUCCUUAACCUGUUGCACCACAGUAGGAAUCCCACAUGCAUGGAUUUUUUAACAGGAGUUUCUGUAAUUAUUAUAUUUUUAUAAUAUGAUAAAAUAUAUUAUUAAAACUUUAAUUGAUUCUAUUUCACUGAUUCUAGUUCUUUGCAGAAAUAUUCAAUCUCUUCAUCUAUUUUAUUAAACACGAUAAUUAAAUGAUCCAAUGUACCUCCAAAGUAACACUGCAUCACCUAUAGGUUCUUUCUGUAAUGCAUUUUUUUCCCCCUGGUUUGGUUAACGUUUUGCUGUCUCUUGGAAUGCAUGAUAACUUUUGCAUUUCAUGUUGGACAUUUGUGUAUAAAAAUUAUAAAUAAAAUUUGAGGUUGGCUCAUGUUCUCCUCUCCCACAGAGAAUGUUCUACUUUCUCACAGGCAGUUAGAGUAGGAACAUAUCACCUUAUCCUGUCUGGGACUGAGGGAUUGAAAGUCAGGAUUCAGUCUUUUGGGAAGGCUGGUCUUUUUCUGGUUUGCUCUCAAGCCAAAUGUAGCCUUCCCAUGGCAUCAACAGGAAGACCGCAGUGUUUACCAGGGCUUCUCCUACUUAGUGGGUCAUUAACUGAAAUUUUUGUCUCCCCAGAUUCAUAAGACAGUCAAAUGCUCUGCUUAUUUUCCUGCUUCUUAGGCUCAUGCUGUUUAGGAGCCAGCAAAUAUCUGAAGGGAAGGUGGGACGAAAUGGUGAUUUCAUCUCAAUGUGGCUUCUCUCUCUGGGAUUUUAGACUCUCAAGUCUUGGCUGCUUCAGUAGCUCUGACUUCUACAUUUCAUCCCUCCAGUUACUCCGAGAUUGACAAAAGGUCAACUCAAUAUCCCAGCCUCUUAGCUGCUAUUUCCUGCUCUUGGAUCCAUACCAAUUUCAAAUUAGCAAAUUCCUCAGGGGUAGAAGCACAGAAGAACAUCAAGCUCACUUGUAUGCAGUUCUUUCUCUACAGCAUCACAGUCCCUAAAGUCCUGUCUGCAUUAAUAGCUCUCCAAAGGCUUUUAAAAAAGAUUUGACUUGAAUUUUUUUUAUGGCAUUUCUAGUUGGCCUCAGCGGUCUGGAAUAUGGAAUCAUUAUCAUUACCUGAUAUCUUUACCUGCACUUAAAAUAACAGCACAUGAUUGCUAAAAUGAAGGAAAAAAAAUCAGUAUUCAGGCUGAAAACCAAAGUCAAGAAAAAAUAGUAAGCAAGCAGAAAAAUACAAUGCCAAAAACUCUGAUAAGAGGAAAAAAAAAAAGAGGAGACAAAAUCAAUCCAAUAGAUAGAACAUCCAACUAAUAGGGUUCCUGUGAUGUCAGAAGCAGUGGAAGUAGGGGAAAAGAGAUUUUAAAAUGUCUCUGGGUCAAAAAAAUUUACCAGAUUUCAGACUGAAAUGGACCACUAAAGGGAUAAUUGGAAAAAAAAUCCAAUAAAUGAAAAAAGACUCAUGAGUAUUCAGAAUACCAAAGAUAAAGGAAAAAAAUGCUAGAUGCUUCCAGAAGGGGGAAGUUUCAGGUACCAAUGAAUGAGAAUCAUACUGAAUACAAGUCUUCACAUCAGCAACAAUCAAAUGGUAUAAGACAAUGGGAACAACAGCUUCAUAAAUCUGAGGGAAAUUUAUGGUAACAUAAAACUGUAUUCCCAGGCAAACUAUCAACUAUGAGAGAUGGAACGAACAUAGUCAUUUUCAGAAAGACAAAGACUUCAAAGUUUUCCUCCUCUGUAACCUUUCUGAGGAAGUUACUCAAGGAUGUGCUUCAAGAAAAUAAGGAAGGAAAACAAGAAAGAGAAGGAAAUGAAAUCCAGAAAACAGUAUAACCCAGGUAGGGGGAGGGGCAGUGGCCAGAAAAGAGAAGUCCCAGAAUGAGAACUGGCCAGCUGUCCUAGACAGCAACUGGCCAAGGCUGGACCAGAAAGCUGGGACAGUCCACAAGGGCCAUUUCUGAGCAAAGCAGAUGGCAUUUGGUAGGUGGUGUCAUGAACGAUAAGGCGAAGAUCUCUUUCUUUAAAGGUGCUUCAGGGUUCUAGGGAAAUAAGUGUAUUUAGGAAAACCAUGGUUAAAAUACGAAACAUGGUUUGCAUGAUGUACAGAGUACAGAAAAAGAUAAUCAAUUUGAUCCAGACACCAGAAUUAUCUUGUGGUGUCGAGAAGGAAAUGGUAAAAGAAAAAAUUAUAAAGCAAAAUUGGAGAGGCAGAAGAUAUCAAAGGAGGUGCAGGGUAAGGUGUGGGGCUAAGUGCCCUGAUCCUACCCCAGGAGGAAGUAACAUCCUAAAUCUGAAGAAUAAAAAUACAUAAUUCUGAAAAGCUAGGGAGAAGAGUAAGAAAUGAGGCGCAAAUUAAGGCAAAAGCUUAUUUUGCUUAUCGAGGAGUUAAUAAAGAGGCAUUUCAACAAAUCCUAAAGUCUCUCAUUCAUGCAGUGUGAGGUUUGUGCAGAAGUAGACUUAAUGGAGCCAAACAGAAAAUCCACCAAUAGCCCCAAUUACAUAUACAAACUGAGUGUAUGAUAAAGAUGUCAUCUCGAACCAGGGGAGAUAAGCUUGGGUUUUUAAUGUGUUAUCAAAUGUCAAGAUAACCAUAUGGAAAAAGAUAAAAAGCAGAUUUGUUUCCCACACUGCACAUCAGAAUAAAACCAGACAAAUAAAAAGUAAUUUUUAAAAAGAAACCAUACCAAUAGCAGAAGCAAAUACGAGCAAAUUAUUCUAUAACCAAGAUCAGAGAAGCUUUUCCUGACUCAAAAUCCAAGACCCAGGAGCCAAGUAGAAGAGGCUCCUACUGGCCAAAGCAGGACCAUUUCAGCAUCAACAAUUCUGACUUUUAAAUAAAAGUAUCAGAGUUCCCAUGUUGCUCAGAGGAUAAGGAUCCAGCAUUGUCACUGCAGUGGCACAGGUUCAGUUCCUGGCCCAGGAAAAUCCACGUGCUGUAGGUUCAGGAAAAAAAAAAAAAUAGCAGACUGGAGUUCCUGCUGUACUGCAGUGCAUUAAGAAUCUAACCGCUGUGGCUCAGGUCUCUAUAGAGGUGCAGGUUUGAUCCCUGGCCCAGCACAGUGGGUUAAAGGAUCCAGAGUUGCCACAGCUAUGGCAUAGGUUGCAGGUUCGGCUCUGAUUCAAUCCCUGGCCCAGGAACUUCCAAUGUGGCCAUUAGAAAAAAAAAAAAAAA